rnacentral:rRNA from 1 species
AGAGUUUGAUCCUGGCUCAGAAUGAACGUUGGCGGCGUGGAUUAGGCAUGCAAGUCGAACGGGCCUAGCAAUAGGUCAGUGGCGGAAGGGUGAGUAAGGCGACGGUAACCAACCCCAUGGUCGGGCAUAGCCGCGGGAAACUGCGGGUAAUUCUCGGCGACGCGGCGGAUCGGCAUCGGUCUGCCGCCAAAGCUCCGGCGCCGUGGGACGGGCCGUCGUGGUAUUAGCUAGUUGGCGGGGUGAUGGCCCACCACGGCUGUGAUGCCUACCGGGCGUGCGAGCGUGGCCCGGCACACUGGGACUGAGACACUGCCCAGACUCCUACGGGAGGCUGCAGUCGAGAAUCUUCGGCAAUGGGCGCAAGCCUGACCGAGCGACGCCGCGUGGAGGACGAAGGCCUUCGGGUUGUAAACUCCUGUCGAGGGGGAGGAAGGGGCAACCUUGACCGAUCCCUGGAGGAAGCACGGGCUAAGUUCGUGCCAGCAGCCGCGGUAAUAC